GGCCCAGAGGGACACCAUGUGAGUCCCUACUAGGUCGGUCCCAUGCAAACAUCCGCGGCCGGCUGACGCUUGCUUCCGGGUUUGCGUUCCAGCAGCUGGAACACAACACAGAAGCUAUUAUCUGCUCCAGGCUCCAGCUAGCUGCCACUUCCGGGUGCCGUUAGACGGGAGCAGUGUCUGCAGCUGCAGGGCUCGUGUUAGUGGAAACAUGUGACAUGCGCACCUGUUUCCAAUUCCAUUGCCAUUUGCUGUGUAGGGGCCGUUGUGGCCGGACAGAGCUGCCAGGGUGGUCAGAAGUGAAGCCAUACCUCAGCAGCGUCAGUUUUAAUUGUUUGUAUAAAUUCAUGUGAAUAGACCUCCUCAUGCCGUUACCAGUUUGUGUGAUUAGAUAAUUAAUCUGAUCUGGGUUGAACUGAGUAUGCAUGAUGAUUGGCUGUAGUAGUCACGUGAUACCCAACAGUGAAGUUAAAUACCCGAUGGGGAGGAAGAUGCGGCACUAUCUGACGAAGAGGGAAGUCCCUUGAAAUGCGUUAUAGCUUCUGCCGCUACUGACCAGACCAGAGGGAGAUCCGAUGAGUCAGAGACAUUGGAGCUCCUGCUAUUAUUCCAUCCAGUCCAUGUCUGCAGCCGGAUUGAGCAGGGCAUUUCACUCUUAACUGCUUAUGGGUCUACCUGUAUGGUGAAAAUCUACCAGUGUUUUAAGUGUUUAUUAAAACUUUUUGGACAUCAAAGCAGUGUGGAAGCACCUGGAUCCUUACUGAAAGAUACCUUUAUGGGAACUCUAGAGUGAAUAUUAAUGAAGGCAGCAUCAUGGUCGUAGAAUCUAUCAGAGUUUGUCGACUAUUAUCUACAACCGUUGAUAGCCAAUUACCCAUCACAUUUGAAAGAUACAAACGAGUUCCUCAAUGUAAUAGAAAAAGUCCAAUGGAAGGAUGUCCAUAUAUUAUGGUGGUGGCAGAUGUGCGCUUACUGUAUACAAUUAUUGAACACCAUGAGGGCCUUGAAGCAAUCUCCAAGGUAUCAAGAUUGGGUUACCCACAAUAUACGAUAAAAUUUUGACAGUUGUUUGUUUACAUUGUACAUCACCGGAAGUGACGUGGCACCCUGUAGAGGACUAUAGUAUGCUAUUGGAUGCCGAGUACCAGUAAAAAAUUAAGAUAAAGAGAAGCUCCUGGAGCGGAUUUUAUCAGUAAGUCUUAUUGCCAACCUGUCGGAGUAUUUCGUAUGAGUAUGUGAAACCUGUGGCAUUUAGGUAUUGACGCCAGGCGGAAAUGACGUGACGGCAACGGGCAUCCAAUUGUGUCAGGAGAUUCUCGUUGCUAUAGCACCCGGAAUACACAGAUGGUGCAUUGCAGGAUGUCCGCUCACAGCAAGGAACCAUGGGCAAGUAGUUGAUUUAUGUACUGUAUAUGGUUCAGCUCUGAACAGAGGGAUAGGAUUGGACAGCAUUGAUUUAAAUACCUUUCGAAGCAGAUCUAUGAUAAUCUUUAUUUACACCUUGAAAAAGACACCAGCCAGGGGUAGAAAUAUGUCGGUGAGGUGGCGUUCCAGUCAAGAUCAGUAGCGGCAGUCACCUGGAGGCAGCAGCUCAGUUCUGUGGGGAAGUCCCAGGAUCCCCUUUAUAGACUUACAUGCUGUCUAGAACUGUCUGACUGCAGUUCCUACACUUGUGAUAAUUACCCUAGAUGCUGAGUACUGUAACUUGGGAACCUCUAAUCAAAGAGAAACUGCUUCAUAAACUGACAUAUGCGUUGUGGUUGUUUACUAUUGUGCUUUUUGACUUUCAUGUAUUUAUUAAAUUGUAUUUCACUAUAAAUAUAUUUUUUUAUCUUUUCUAUAUAUCCUUAAAUGGGUUCCUUUGAAACGGAGACUAAACAUAUGGAACCAUUUGGGAAUUGAAUGCAUUAAGGAGUGCUGGUUAAGUUAUCCCUCCAAUUUAUUUGGUUGUUUGCACUAGUGGUGAAGGGUAGAGGACACCUUCAAGGAGUGUUUAACUGACAGGUUGCUCUUUUGUGCACGGAAUUGUUCUCACCCAUUAUUGUCUAUAUUGUCUUACCCAGACUUUGUUCAAUUCACCAGUGAAACCUGAACUUUGUUUUAUCCUUUUAUGUUCUAUGAAAUUGUCUAUAAUCUGUGUGUACGUUUA